CAUAGCGGAGGAAAAGAAACCAACAGGGAUUGCCCUAGUAAUGGCGAAUGAAGCGGCAACAGCUCAAAUUUGAAAUCUGGCCCUCCUUCUUGGGGGGUCCGAGUUGUAAUUUGCAGAGGGUGCUUUGGCGUUGGUGGCGGUCUAAGUUCCUUGGAACAGGCCAUCGCAGAGGGUGAGAAUCCCGUAUGUGGUCGCCCGCCUUCGCCGUGUAAAGCCCCUUCGACGAGUCGCGUUGUUUGGGAAUGCAGCGCAAAAUGGGAGGUAAAUUUCUUCUAAAGCUAAAUACUGGCCAGAGACCGAUAGCGCACAAGUAGAGUGAUCGAAAGAUGAAAAGCACUUUGGAAAGAGAGUCAAAUAGCACGUGAAAUUGUUGAAAGGGAAGCGCUUGCAGCCAGACGUGCCUGCGGUUGCUCAGCCGGGCUCCCCCCUAAACCAGGGGCGCCCGGUGCACUCUUCCGCAGGCAGGCCAGCAUCAGUUUGGGCGACUGGAGAAAGACCUCUGUCACGUAUCUUCCUUCGGGAUGACCUUAUAGGGGAGGUGUAAUGCAGCCAGCCUGGACUGAGGGACCGCGCUUCGGCGAGGAUGCUGGCGUAAUGGCUGUAAGCGGCCCGUCUUG
rnacentral:rRNA from 1 species